GAUGAACGCUGGCGGCGUGCUUAACACAUGCAAGUCGAACGAAGCACUCUAUUUGAUUUUCUUCGGAAAUGAAGAUUUUGUGACUGAGUGGCGGACGGGUGAGUAACGCGUGGGUAACCUGCCUCAUACAGGGGGAUAACAGUUGGAAACGACUGCUAAUACCGCAUAAGCGCACAGUAUUGCAUGAUACAGUGUGAAAAACUCCGGUGGUAUGAGAUGGACCCGCGUCUGAUUAGCUAGUUGGUGGGGCAACGGCCUACCAAGGCGACGAUCAGUAGCCGACCUGAGAGGGUGACCGGCCAAAUUGGGACUGAGACACGGCCCAAACUCCUACGGGAGGCAGCAGUGGGGAAUAUUGCACAAUGGGGGAAACCCUGAUGCAGCGACGCCGCGUGAACGAAGAAGUAUUUCGGUAUGUAAAGUUCUAUCAGCAGGGAAGAUAAUGACGGUACCUGACUAAGAAGCACCGGCUAAAUACGUGCCAGCAGCCGCCGUAA
rnacentral:rRNA from 1 species